GGCUAGUGGCUCUCUUGUGUAUUUACAAGGCGUGCAAUUUCCAUUUCCUGCUAGCCGCCCGUAUGCACGAGAGACCCUUCCCUUCCCCCCUUUGAUAUAAGCUCUGCACGCCGCCAGGCAACGAACGACCACGUCGAACACAAAGCUGAGAUUUUUCACAAGAAAAUAUUCAUGUGAAGGCGAAAACUGCGCAGGCGCAUGUUUUGUCAACUGGCAAUCGACAGACCGGCAGACUGGCAGACCAGUAGACUGGCGGACGGAAAUACAUGCCGAGAGGAGGCUAAGGCUGGGACCGCACUGCUCCGCUGACGUUUGCGUGACAGCAGCAUCAACCAAUAACAACAAUAACAAAAAAAAAAACUGCUGCAACGGCAGGCAGCAUCCAGACCAUGCUUUGACCAGUUACCAAUUUUGGCAGCAAGACUUUCAUUUAUUUUCGAUUCGUUUUUAGGCUGCUGAGGAUCGCUCGUACAAAAGACAUGCAUACACAUGGGUUAACCCCUGGACUUGGGGUCUAGAUGGAAGAAGAUUCCGCAAACUCCACUGGACUAUUUGCCGCUGCGAAGGACUAACAUCAGGUCCAGGUCUAGAACAUUACUCUUGAUCAGCCUCUGGUAUAUUCAGAUUGUCUAUCUGGUCGACAAUGGAGACUCUCACAACGCUUAUGCAGACGAUUGUGAUUUAUUAAUAAUGAUACUGCAGUUCAAUGCAAACCCUUCAUACUGCUGUUCGUCU